rnacentral:rRNA from 1 species
GCAGCAGCCGCGGUAAUACAGAGGGUGCGAGCGUUAAUCGGAUUUACUGGGCGUAAAGCGUGCGUAGGCGGCUUCUUAAGUCGGAUGUGAAAUCCCUGAGCUUAACUUAGGAAUUGCAUUCGAUACUGGGAAGCUAGAGUAUGGGAGAGGAUGGUAGAAUUCCAGGUGUAGCGGUGAAAUGCGUAGAGAUCUGGAGGAAUACCGAUGGCGAAGGCAGCCAUCUGGCCUAAUACUGACGCUGAGGUACGAAAGCGUGGGGAGCAAACAGGAUUAGAUAACCGCGUAGUCCCUGUCUCUUAUAA